rnacentral:rRNA from 1 species
UUUUAACUCCUAAUUUUCUAUAUUUAAAAAUUUAUAAUUUUAAAAAUUAUUUUAAACUUAUAAGUUAAAUAUUAAAUUUAAAUAAUUAAAUUAUCAAAAAUAAUUUUAAAAUUAUUCAAAAAAAAUUUUAAAGAAAAAUUAAUUUUUUUUUCCUUUUGUAUCAGAAUAAAUUUAAAUUUAAAUUUAUAUUUAAAUCUCGAAAUAAAAAAAUUUAAAUAAAUAUAUAAAUUAAAAUUUUAAUUUUAUUAAAAAUAUUUAUUUAGAAAUUAUAUAUUAAACAAUUUUUAUAAUAUCUAGUUAUUUAAUAAAAAAAUUUAAUUUUAUUAUAAAUUCUUAAUAUUAAAUAAAUAAAAUUAUUUAAUAUUAAAUUUAUAAAAAAAAUUUAAGGGAUAAACUUUAAAUUUUAUUUUAAAAUAAAAAUUAUUACAAAUCAAUUAUAAAAAUUAAAAUUCUUUCUAACAAAAAAAAUUUAAUAAUUUAUUUUCUUUAAAAAAAUUUUUUUAAACAUUUAAUUAAUUAUUAAAUUAUUUUAAAAAAUAAUUUUUUAAAAAAAAUUAUAAUUUAAUUAGUAAAUUAAAUUUAAAUUAAAUAAUUUUUUUUAAAAAAAAAUAAAAUUAAUGAACUAAGCAAAAAUUUAUAUUCACCUGUUUAACAAAAACAUGUCUAAAAGAUUAUUAAUUUUUAGUCCAAUCUGCCCAAUGAUUUAUAUAAUUAAAUGGCUGCAAAAUCAAUUAUUGUACAAAGGUAGCAUAAUAAUUUGUUUUUUAAUUAAAAACUAGAAUGAAUGAUUAAUUGAAAUAUAAACUUUAUCAAUUAUAUAAAAAUUAAAAUUUUUAUUUAAGUUAAAAAACUUAAAUAAAAAUAAAAGACGACAAGACCCUAUAGAAUUUUAUUUAUAAAAAUAUAUUAACUUUAACUUUUUAAUAAAUAUAUUUUUAAUAAAUUUAAUUGGGGAAAUUAAAAAAUUUAAUAAAUUUUUUUAUAAUAAAACAUUAAUUUAUGAAUAAACAAUUUCUUUAUUAUUAAUUUUAAAAUUAAUUACCUUAGGGAUAACAGCAUAAUUUUUUUUAAAAGAUCUUAUUAAUAAAAAAGAUUAUGACCUCGAUGUUGAAUUAAGUUAAAAUUUAAUUGAAAAAACUUAAAAAUUUAAGUCUGUUCGACUUUUAAAAACUUACAUGAUUUGAGUUAAGAUCGGUGUAAACCAGAUCAGAUUCUAUCUUUAUUAAAAAAUUAUAUUAUUGUACGAAAGGAAUUAAUAUAAAAAAUAAUUUUUAUUUAAAUAAUAAAUUAACUUCAA